CCUGGCUGUGUACUUUACAUGGGAGGAAUGGCAGAACAUGAACAAUGCUCAGAAAACCCUGUACAGAGAUGUGAUGCUGGAGACCUACAGCAGCCUGUUCUCCUUGGGGCACUGCAUUACCAAACCUGACUUGAUCUUCAAGUUGGAGCAAGGAGCAGAGCCAUGGAUGGUGGAAGAAUGCCUGAAUCAGAGCCUUCCAGUGGUCAUGAAAAGGGAUGACCUGAUUAGGAUCAACCAAGAAAGUCAGGAC